rnacentral:lncRNA from 1 species
GCCUUACAGCCUGUGGUGGUUGCCGAAGAACUUUAAUUACAGUGUCAGAGUGUUCAGGGACAGUCCCAACUCCCUUCAUGUGAGGAUUGCAGAAAUGGGCUUGGAUCGUAUACAGACAGCGUUAUGAGGCAUUGCUGAAGAACAGAAAAGAAAAAACAACAAAGUUUCCAGCUCUUACUCUAGAUUGACACUGGACCUUGGAGAUGCUUGCAGUUUUCUAUAGGAAGGAUGUAAGAGGAAGGAAAUUCAAAUCUGUUGAGUAUUGCUCUUGCCAGCAAAAAGAAGUGGAACUGACUAGUGAGAUGGUGGUGAGAUUUUCUUUGGUGGCUGUGUGCAGUGGUAUCAACCCAGGAGAGUAGACUGUUCAAUUGUGAAGAAUUUUGCAAGAUGGUUGUUAAAGUAGAACAUCGUUAAAAUUAAGUUGUAAUAAAAAAAGGGAAAUAAGCAUUGGAAAAGAUGUGGACAGAUUGGAACCCUCAUACAUUGCUGAUGGGAAUGUAAAAUG